GAAACAGCUUUUCAAGUUUUGUUUUCAGUUUGAAUGUGUUGAUAAGAGAAGAGAAAAUGGAGAGUUUGGUGAUGAAUAGGAAGAAGCUUUGUGUAAUGGUGUUAUGUUUGUGCUGGGUUCAUGUAGUGACAGCUUCUAUUACAUAACAUCACAAAGUAAUUGUUGUUAAUGGGCAGAGAAAGAUUUUGUUUUCUGGUUCUAUACACUACCCCAGAAGCACACCUCAGAUAUGGUCAGAGCUUAUUCAAAAAGCUAAAGAGGGAGAGUUGGAUGUUAUUCAAACCUAUGUGUUUUGGAAUGGCCAUGAACCUUCUCCAGGAAAAUAUUAUUUUGAGGAUAGGUACAAACUUAGUUAAGUUCAUCAAGGUAACUUUGCAGCCAUCUUGAAGGCAAUGCAUUCUUUUAGUGCUGAAUCAGAAAAGGAGUUGAGCUUUUCAAAGGGUGAUUUCAUUGUUGUGCGAAAGGUUUGUUUUCUCAGUUAAUGUCAAUGUACUGU